rnacentral:misc_RNA from 1 species
UCAAAUGGGUGGCAUCUGCAGAGGUGAUUCCUUAUGUACUAACUAAUAUCAGUGUGUCUAUUUCCACAUUCAUCUGUUCAUCAACUGCAUGAUGCGUAUGCGAGCUAACCAGAGCUCAAUUUGUUGGUGAUGGUCUGGCCUUGUCCAUCAGUUUUUAUGCUAUCCCAUUUAUGGUUUCAUAAACAAAACCGUACAAGAUGCUACAAAUGUGUCCAUUUCCACAUUCAAUUGUUCAUCAACUGCAUGAUGCGUAUGCGAGCUAACCAGAGCUCAAUUUGUUGGUGAUGGUCUGGCCUUGUCCAUCAGUUUUUAUGCUAUCCCAUUUAUGGUUUCAUAAACAAAACCGUACAAGAUGCUACAAAUGUGUCCAUUUCCACAUUCAAU